AUCCAGCUAACGAGUCCCAAAUAGUACGAAACACAUGUCCUAGAU
rnacentral:hammerhead_ribozyme from 1 species